AUUCCUCUUUCAUAGCCUUAACUAAAAGUACUCUGAAGGAGCAGUUACCUCCUGUUUGCUACUAAGUGGAAGAUAACAAUUCUGAAGAUGAUGCUACAAAUACUGCCCAAAGAGAAAGAAUUUUUGUAUUUUGUCACAGAAAUGAGCAUCACCCCAUCUGUUUCAGGAGAAACAGGAGAAGCUUAAAAAAUGGAGGAGGAGAAAAAACAGCAUCUUUUAAUGGUUUUCUAAAUAUUCUGAAGUGGGGUGCCUGCCUUUAUGGAAACAUAUGCCCAUGGCUCAGCAAACCUACUCAACUUGUCUGUCUUGGCCCUAAUUUAAUACGUAUUUUGCCCAGCUGUCAGCUCUUGAAAUAUUUCAGCAGUGUUCUAAGCCUAAUGGGUGUUCAUGUAGCCCAGUACGUCCUGUGGCUAGUUCUUGGAGUAGCACUAAAAAUCCC
rnacentral:lncRNA from 1 species